rnacentral:rRNA from 1 species
AGAGUUUGAUCAUGGCUCAGAUUGAACGCUGGCGGAAUGCUUUACACAUGCAAGUCAAACGGCAGCACGGGGGCAACCCUGGUGGCGAGUGGCGCACGGGUGAGUAAAACAUCGGAACGUAUCCUAGAGUGGGGGAUAGCCCGGCGAAAGCCGGAUUAAUACCGCAUACGCUCGAAAGAGGAAAGUGGGGGAUCGUAAGACCUCACGCCCUAGGAGCGGCCGAUGCCGGAUUAGCUUGUUGGUGAGGUAAAAGCUCACCAAGGCGACGAUCCGUAGCUGGUCUGAGAGGACGACCAGCCACACUGGGACUGAGACACGGCCCAGACUCCUACGGGAGGCAGCAGUGGGGAAUUUUGGACAAUGGGGGAAACCCUGAUCCAGCCAUUCCGCGUGAGUGAAGAAGGCCUUCGGGUUGUAAAGCUCUUUCGGCAGGAACGAAACGGUUUGGGCUAAUACCCCAGACUACUGACGGUACCUAAGAAGAGACC